rnacentral:rRNA from 1 species
CCUACGGGCGGCAGCAGUGAGGAAUAUUGGUCAAUGGACGAGAGUCUGAACCAGCCAAGUAGCGUGAAGGAUGACUGCCCUAUGGGUUGUAAACUUCUUUUAUAUGGGAAUAAAAUGUUCCACGUGUGGGAUUUUGUAUGUACCAUAUGAAUAAGGAUCGGCUAACUCCGUGCCAGCAGCCGCGGUAAUACGGAGGAUCCGAGCGUUAUCCGGAUUUAUUGGGUUUAAAGGGAGCGUAGGUGGAUUGUUAAGUCAGUUGUGAAAGUUUGCGGCUCAACCGUAAAAUUGCAGUUGAAACUGGCAGUCUUGAGUACAGUAGAGGUGGGCGGAAUUCGUGGUGUAGCGGUGAAAUGCUUAGAUAUCACGAAGAACGCCGAUUGCGAAGGCAGUUCACUGGACUGCAACUGACACUGAGGCUCGAAAGUGUGGGUAUCAAACAGGAUUAGAUACCCGGGUAGUC